GUCUAUUAAAAAACUCAAACGCUUACAUUUGAAACUAAUUUAUUUUCACUAGCGUUUUUAAUAGAAUACAAGGAAGAGCAAAAUCUAGAAAAAUCACAAAACUGCAAGUCUUGAAACUGCAAAGGGGAAGAAGCGAGUGAAAGAAAAAUCUAUAAAUGGGAGCCGGAAGGCCGUCUGGGAUGAACGGGUUCUUAUUUUCUGUAUGUAAAUUCGGAACGAAGAAGGUUGUUGAUGCAAAUUCACAUCUCGCUCGCUGAUCCUUGCCAGGUAUAGUUGGGUAUAUGAUUUUUGAUCGAUUAUUUGUUUGAUUUAUGGAGAGUAGUUAUAAGAAAUUUAGACGGGAAAUUUGGGAAAGAGAUAAGUAAAUAGUAAUAAAAAUAGAUUUUUUUACUUAAUCUCCCUCUGUUGGUAUAAUCCAAUUGACUUGAAUUUUGUAAUUGUACAUUGUCUCUAGUUUACAAUUAUACAAUCAACUUUUCAAACUGACCCCUAUGAGUUUUAGAAAAGUUAUAUAUCUACGGCUGUAUUAGAGGCGACCAAAGAUUUUGAUGGGUGAGCACAACGCAUAUGUUCCGUUGAUUAACUAUCUCCUGAUGAACUUUGAUUGGAGGGAUACCGCUCUUAAAGAUCAGUUAUCUGAAGCAUUGUAUGGCUCAUAUUCUCCAGAAAAUGCUCGUUUCCUUAAAGCCUAUUAUAAAGGAUCCAGAUCUUGUCGUAUACUUGACAAUGAAUUGUUAGGUGAAUGUGGAGAAAGCUGAAGCACAAGGAAAAGAGAGAAAUAUCGAAAGAUUGGAAAACGUGACAUUGUGCGACUGUGCAAGUGUUCUAGAGGGCUAUUCUAUGUCCUGUACCAGAGUUUGUUUGUUUGCUAUUGAAUAUUAGUUGGGAUUUGGCAUAUCAUACAAAUACAUUGAAUAACUAUAGGUUUUUUAUGAAUGAAUUACAUUUUGUUUGAUUUCAACUCUUGAAUGUUUUGUAAAUUUAAUCUUUUGAUUCCAAUGUGAAAAUUUAAGUUAUUGUCA